GAGUUUGAUCAUGGCUCAGGGUGAACGCUAGCGGUGCGCCUAACACAUGCAAGUCGAGCGGGAGUUGCACAGAGGAGACUUCGGUUGAAUCGGUGUAAUGAUAGCGGCGAACGGGUGAGUAACACGUUGGAACCUGCCCCCAAGUCAGGGAUAGCCAAGGGAAACCUUGGAUAAUACCGGAUAGUCUCUUAGGAGUAAAAAUUUAUUGCUUGGGGAGGGGCCUGCGGACUAUCAGCUAGUUGGUAAGGUAAGAGCUUACCAAGGCUAUGACGGAUAACUGGUCUGAGAGGAUGAUCAGUCACAAUGGAACUGAGACACGGUCCAUACUCCUACGGGAGGCAGCAGUGAGGAAUCUUCCACAAUGGACGAAAGUCUGAUGGAGCGACACCGCGUGAAGGAAGAAGGCCUAACGGUUGUAAACUUCUUUUCUGAAGGAGCAUAAUGAGAGUACUUUAGGAAUAAGGGACGGCUAAAUACGUGCCAGCAGCCGCGGUAAUACGUAUGUCUCGAGCGUUACCCGGAAUAACUGGGUGUAAAGGGUUUGUAGGUUGAUGGUUAAGUCAGAUAUGAAAGACCGAAGCUUAACUUCGAGUUAGUAUUUGAAACUGGCUAUCUAGAAUCAGGGAGAGGUAAGCGGAAUUCUAAGUGUAGGGGUGCAAUCCGUAGAUACUUAGAGGAACACCAAAAGCGAAGGCAGCUUACUGGAACUGAAUUGACACUGAAAAACGAAAGCGUGGGGAGCGAAAAGGAUUAGAUACCCUUGUAGUCCACGCCCUAAACGAUGACAACUAAGUGUUGCGACUAGCUCGCAGUGCUGUAGCAAAACGCGUUAAGUUGUCCACCUGAGGAGUACGGUCGCAAGAUUAAAAACUCAAGGGAAUAGACGGGGACCCACACAAGCAGUGGAUCACGUGGUUUAAUUCGAUAAUAAACGGGAACCCUUACCCAGAACUUGACAUCCUAGGAAUGCACCAGAGAUGGAGCAGUGCUCGCGAAGAGAACCUAGAGACAGGUGCUGCAUGGUUGUCGUCAGCUCGUGCCUUGAGGUGUUCGGUUAAAGUCCGUUAAACGAGCGCGAACCCAUGUCCUUAGUUAAACUGUCUAAGGAGACUGCUCUUGGUUAACGAAGGAGAAAGGUGUGGAUGACGUCAAUUCAGCGUGGCUUUUACGUCUGGGGCUACGCGCAUGAUACGAAUGGUGUAGACAAGAAGUAGUGAAUUCCGCGAGGAAAGAACCGAAUCUUGAAAAAUAGUUCUCGGUCCCGGAUUGGAGUUCUGCGACUCGACUCCGUGAAAUUGGAAAUUGCGAGGAACGUGAAUUCGGAUGAUGUGACGAUGAAUGUGGUUCCUGGGUCUUGUAGUCAC
rnacentral:rRNA from 1 species